UUCUACACAGGUUUUGCUCACAUUAUGUACUUUGUGAAUAUUACAGGUUGACUGCUAAAUAUCGUCUCAAUGAAAAUGAUUAAUGCUUUGAAAGAUGAAUGUUUCAUUUCAUUAUUUUAUUAGGAAAGACAAUCAUGAUAGUGAGCUGUCUUGAUGUGGCUCAAAUGUUUGGUAACAGUGACCUCUAGUGUCCACACAUGAACAGCCCACUGGACCUGAGAAAAGUGUGUGCAGCUCACAUUCUGAAAGAGCUUUAAGAAAUCAUGUAACAGGAAUAAAAUGUGAACAUGCACAAAGUGAAUAUUUUAACAUGCAAAUCUAUACACUGUAUUGUGAAAAUCUAACGCGUUUCAGCGAGUAUUGUAGCUAUGUAUCAACAAUUUGUUAAGAUUUAUGUACACAAAAAAGGAAAAGUUCAGAUCUCAAGAAUAUAUUUUCCAGUAAAAAAAAAAAAAGCUGAAUCAAAAA